UAAAAUGCUUAUGUCGAGGUCCUGAUUCCCACACGCUGGUGCUGUAUUUGAGUGUGAGGGGCCCCUGGAAGCUCAUCUGUUGGAGGAUUGGUCCCCAGCCUCUGGAGAUUUGGGAGAUGCUGGGAUCUGUGGGAGCCUGGACACUGAGGCACCCCCAAUAACACACUGAAGACACUCAGGAGAGAGUACUUCAAAAACAACUUCAGACUGGCAGCAGGUGUGAUAGGCUAUCUCAGCCCCUCCUUCUCCUGUGUCCUCAGACUCCCAGUGGCUGCCCAGAACUGCAGCUGUGUUGCCCCUGUGCCCUGCCACCCUGCUUUGGAGCCUGCUGAUUAUGGAUUGAAACCUCC